rnacentral:lncRNA from 1 species
GGCGGGGGGUGGAAUUGUGCUAUAUGCAACAAUAUGAUAGACCAGAAGGACUAUGCUCAGUGAAAUAAUAAGUCAAACACAGAAAGAUAAAUAUAGUGUGGUUUUACUUACAUGUGGAAUCUAAAAUAGUCAAACUGGAGCCAGUUGUAUGUUCUUACAGUUGUUGUGGCAAAGCGGAACAGCUCAGCGCUAUAGCCAAGUGCCACAGCUCUGAGGCACAGACGAGUGUUACAGCUCAGCGUCGCCAUGACAGUGGACUCAGUGGACCUCUUACUACGGGAUUGAACUAGGCGGCAGAACCACUGAGCUAAAUCCCCAGCCUCAACUUGGGUAAUUCUUAUGCUUAAACACUUCCCUUUGUUGGUCAUUUUUAUUUUCACUAAAG